CCAAUAGCGUAUAUUAAAGUUGUUGCAGUUAAAAGGCUCGUAGUUGAAUUUCGGGGUUAGUAGGUUGGUCAUGCCUCUGGUAUGUACUGGUCUCACUGAUUCCUCCUUCCUGAUGAGCCGUAAUGCCAUUAAUUUGGUGUUGCGGGGAAUUUGGACUGUUACUUUGAAGAAAUUAGAGUGUUUAAAGAAAGCUAACGCUUGAAUACAUUAGCAUGGAAUAAUGAAAUAGGACGUUCGAUCCUAUUUUGUUGGUUUCUAGGAUUGACGUAAUGAUUAAUAGGGAUAGUUGGGGGCAUUAGUAUUAAAUUGUCAGAGGUGAAAUUCUUGGAUUUAUUGAAGACUAACUACUGCGAAAGCAUUUGCCAAGGAUGUUUUCAUUAAUCAAGAACGAAAGUUAGGGGAUCGAAGACGAUCAGAUACCGUCGUAGUCUUAACCAUAAACUAUGCCGACUAGGGAUCGGAUGAUGUUAAUUUUUUAAUGACUCAUUCGGCGCCUUACG
rnacentral:rRNA from 1 species